rnacentral:piRNA from 1 species
UAAUUGCCUCACGAUUAGUAAUUACCUUGU